GCCCGCCGCUGGGGCCGGGAUGCGCCUGCGCAGGGCGGGAGGCGGGAGCGGCGGCGGGGCGCGCGCACACGUGGGGGGCGGUGCCGCGGGGCGUCAUGUGACGGAGACGGGUAGUAUGGCGGCGGCGACCGGCGGGCUCCCGGGCCGCAGCCGAGACGGGCUGGCGGUGGAGGCGGCGGGGAGCCCCGACCCCAGCGGCGGGGGCACCGAUGCCGCGGCGGAGAGGUGCCCUGCGAGGGAAGGAGCGGCGGCCGGGCCCUGUGCCGCCCCCGGGGGCUGGCAGAAGGCGAGCAGGCGGCGGCGGUCGGGCCGGACGGCGGGCAGGAUCGACGUGUACUUCGUCAGUCCUGAAGGAAAUAAGAUAAGGUCAAAGCGUGCACUUGCGGAGUAUUUUCAGAAAACUGGGGAGGCGACACUAAAGGUAGAAGAUUUUGAUUUUACAGCUCCUCACCAGCAGAGUACCCGCUCGAGGGCAAAAAGGUGCAGCACAAGCGCUGCGGGAACUGUUUUAGAGGGUGAGGAGGGUCACAGUCGCGUGCGAGGCUGCAGCGCACCAAGUGGUGAAGGGGACGGAAUUGGAAACAUCCAGGCUGGAAGUGAACACCUGGGCGGCAUUACGUCCACUCUGGAGAGCGACGAUUUGAUCGCGAGAGGCGUAAACGCAGAGGACUGUUUGAAAACCAGAAAAAAGGGGGCAGGUGAAAAAAGUGCUCGGAAUAAGAAAACUGGCAAGAGCUCAGAAAAGAGGAAUCGAGAUAAUGCCCAAAACAAAAGACAGAGAACACUGUGUAGCAAACAGGAAACUGAGGGCAUUCAAACCAAGAAAGUCUGUAGCAAGGCAGACGUGUGUGUCGCUGUCGGCCGGUGCGUGGGUGACCAGAAUGCAGCCCCUGCGGAUGCAGGAAGAACUCUGUCACAAGUGUCCAGGGCACAGUCAGACACACCACUAAGGUCAGUGACGGCUCGCUCGCAGAGGGACUUGGAGAGCCGAGCAGAGGCGGAGCGUGUGGAGACGGGUUCUAAUGGCGCGUCCUCUGCAACAUCUGAGGAGAAAACCAAUGGAUUGAAAGUAGGGAAGGAGAAAGGUCGAGGGAAUCCAGGUAACCAGGAUUUAAAAUAUGACACUGAAACAGAUGCGAACGUCUUGCAGCCGUGUGACAUGAAAAGCUUCACAGCAGUUAAAGUGCCACCAGAAGAGUCUAUCCCACGAACACAAGUGGAUAGGAGGAAAACAAGUCCAUAUUUUUCAAGUAAAUACAGUAAAGAAGCUCCCAGCCCGCCCAGAAGGAAGGCCUAUAGAAAAUGGACUCCUCCACGUUCUCCAUUUAAUUUGGUCCAAGAAACGCUUUUUCAUGAUCCAUGGAAACUUCUCAUUGCAACCAUUUUUCUCAAUAAAACUUCAGGUAAAAUGGCAAUUCCUGUGCUCUGGGAGUUCCUUAAGAAGUAUCCUUCUCCUGAAAUAGCCAGGACUGCAGACUGGAAAGAAAUGUCAGAGCUGCUCAAACCUCUCGGCCUCUAUGAGCUCAGGGCAAAAACGAUCAUCAAGUUCUCAGCGGAGAUGUGUUACAGCAGCAGAGAAUCAGGAUUUUGUCCAGAGUCGCUUUCUGCGACCUGCCUGCCUGCAGGCAGUGAAGCCUGUGACUGUACGUUGCAGAUGAGUACCUGAGCAAGCAGUGGAAGUACCCCAUCGAGCUGCACGGGAUCGGGAAGUACGGGAACGACUCCUACAGAAUCUUCUGUGUCAACGAAUGGAAGGAGGUGCAGCCGCAGGACCACAAGUUAAAUGUGUACCACACGUGGCUCUGGGAGAACCGGGAAAGGCUGAGCAUUGACUGAAAAAGCCCUCACCGGCUCAGCUCUGUGCAGCGGCCAUCUGGGCGGCAGCCUUCCCAGCGUCGAGUGCUUCCUUCGAACCGUGACCUGCUCCGGUCGUGGUUGUGAUGAAGUGUUCAAAAUCUCUGUAUUCUUUUAAUAAAAGUAGCCUGGUUUUUGUA